CCUCUCUUUACCAUGUUUGUACAAAGGAUGUAUUUCCUAUACAUUGACUAGGGAAUCCCCCCAACUCAUAAAUUAUAAAAAUGACACUUCCAAACCAUCAAUGAAGAAAGUAUCAUCAUUAAAGUGGUAGUGCAAUAUAACAAAGUGUUUACAAACAAAACAACAUCCAAUAUACCCCCAAGUGCUCUUUUUUGGUUGUUAUACAGUUUGAAAAAAGCCUACGGUUAGCUAUCAAUUCCUUACAGCAAUGAAAUAUUAAGCUAAACAAUGAAUUUAGAAAGUUCUUAGCCAAAUCUUGACAGUAUACCAACUACGAGUUGGUAACACUGUUUUUGAUCCUUCUAAAGAAGAGAAAUGCGAACACCAAGUAAAACUUAUUAUAAACUAUAAAUAUUUCAAUAUUUACACUCAAUAUGAGUUUGACACCGUAGUAUAAACUGAAGGUCAACAGGUUCAAGAAUUUAUCUGAAGCACCAGGAGACAGUAAUAUAUGUAGUUUAGAACUACAAUUCAAAAAGUAAACACAUACCAAUACAUUUAUCAGGUCAAAUAGUAUCACACACACACACGCACACUCACUCACUCCUCUCUCACACUUUUUCUUCUCACAGGAUACAAGCACUAUCAAAAACAAAACAAAAAACACUUUAAACUAAACACUUAAAUCUUUGAAAAAUCUAAAUUUGGAUGUGUUAAACAAAGAAAGAAACUACCUAUUUUAGACUGCAGCCUAGGAGAGAUUCUUUAAAUAUUCACUUAUUCUAACCUGAGACAACUUUCCUUCUGAAAAUAAAUUGCACUUCCCCCAAAGAUAUUUGUAUGUAAAAUUUAAGACCUAUCCUGAGCCACCAAUCCCAACACACACCUGGUAAAAGUGACUUAUCAAGAAAGAAGUAUCAAAAAGUUAUCAAGAAAUGAUGUUUCAAGGCAUAAGUGGAAUGUUAAAACACAAACCUGCAUGAAAUGAGUCAAAAUUUAUUUUACAAUACUGAAAUAACUAUAAUUUACAAACGAGUCAUGAUUAAUUUUGGAGCAUAGUAAAAUUAAAUACAACCCUUUACUUCAACACAGUAUUUGAAUGCUGAUAUAGAGUAAAGUGACAGUUUGGCACUUAGCAGCUUUUGUUGGUUAUUGCAUCCCAUAUUAUGUGGCAAAUUUAUUUUAUAAAACAUGAUC
rnacentral:lncRNA from 1 species